AGAUACCAGCUGGCUGCAACUGUUUAUUAAAAACACAGCACUGUGCAAACACGAAAGUGGACGUAUACGGUGUGACGCCUGCCCGGUGCCGGAAGGUUAAUUGAUGGGGUUAUCCGUAAGGAGAAGCUCUUGAUCGAAGCCCCGGUAAACGGCGGCCGUAACUAUAACGGUCCUAAGGUAGCGAAAUUCCUUGUCGGGUAAGUUCCGACCUGCACGAAUGGCGUAAUGAUGGCCAGGCUGUCUCCACCCGAGACUCAGUGAAAUUGAACUCGCUGUGAAGAUGCAGUGUACCCGCGGCAAGACGGAAAGACCCCGUGAACCUUUACUAUAGCUUGACACUGAACACUGGUCCUUGAUGUGUAGGAUAGGUGGGAGGCUUUGAAGUGUGGACGCCAGUCUGCAUGGAGCCAUCCUUGAAAUACCACCCUUUAAUGGCUGGUGUUCUAACGUGGACCCGUGAUCCGGGUUGCGGACAGUGUCUGGUGGGUAGUUUGACUGGGGCGGUCUCCUCCUAAAGAGUAACGGAGGAGCACGAAGGUUAGCUAAUCCUGGUCGGACAUCAGGAGGUUAGUGCAAAGGCAUAAGCUAGCUUGACUGCGAGAGUGACGGCUCGAGCAGGUGCGAAAGCAGGUCUUAGUGAUCCGGUGGUUCUGAAUGGAAGGGCCAUCGCUCAACGGAUAAAAGGUACUCCGGGGAUAACAGGCUGAUACCGCCCAAGAGUUCAUAUCGACGGCGGUGUUUGGCACCUCGAUGUCGGCUCAUCACAUCCUGGGGCUGAAGUAGGUCCCAAGGGUAUGGCUGUUCGCCAUUUAAAGUGGUACGCGAGCUGGGUUUAGAACGUCGUGAGACAGUUCGGUCCCUAUCUGCCGUGGGCGCUGGAGAAUUGAGGGGGGCUGCUCCUAGUACGAGAGGACCGGAGUGGACGCAUCACUGGUGUUCGGGUUGUCAUGCCAAUGGCAUUGCCCGGUAGCUAAAUGCGGAAGAGAUAAGUGCUGAAAGCAUCUAAGCACGAAACUUGCCCCG
rnacentral:rRNA from 1 species